rnacentral:rRNA from 1 species
AGAUUGAACGCUGGCGGCACGCCUAACACAUGCAAGUCGAACGGGAGUAGCAAUACUCUAGUGGCGGACGGGUGAGGAAUACGUAGGAAUUUGCCCUUAAGUGGGGGAUAACCCGGGGAAACCCGGAUUAAUACCGCAUGACCUCGAAAGAGCAAAGUGGGGGAUCGCAAGACCUCACGCUUUUGGAGAAGCCUACGUCGGAUUAGCUAGUUGGUGAGGUAAUGGCUCACCAAGGCGACGAUCCGUAACUGGUCUGAGAGGAUGAUCAGUCACACCGGAACUGAGACACGGUCCGGACUCCGUACGGGAGGCAGC